UCUCGGAAGCUAAGCAGGGUCGGGCCUGGUUAGUACUUGGAUGGGAGACCGCCUGGGAUACCGGGUGCUGUAGGCUUUU
rnacentral:miRNA from 1 species